GGAGGUAAAAGUCGUAACAAGGUUUCCGUAGGUGAACCUGCGGAAGGAUCAUUAAAGAGAAUAUGCCCUUCGGGGUAGAUCUCCCACCCUUUGUUUAUAUUACCUUUGUUGCUUUGGCAGGCCCGUCUUCGGACCACCGGCUUCGGCUGGUCAGUGCUUGCCAGAGGACCCAAAACUCUUAUUAUUAAUGUCGUCUGAGUACUAUAUAAUAGUUAAAACUUUCAACAACGGAUCUCUUGGUUCUG
rnacentral:misc_RNA from 1 species